AGGGGCGUCGUUCAAUGGUAGGACAUGGGUCUCCAAAAUCCAGAAUGCGGGUUCGAUUCCUGCCGCCCCUG
rnacentral:tRNA from 1 species